GCCGACGUAGCUCAACGGAAGAGCAGCUGAUUUGUAAUCAGCAGGUUGGGGGUUCGAUUCCCUUCGUCGGCU
rnacentral:tRNA from 1 species